GAGACAGCAGCCGCCGCGGGAAUACGUAGGUGGCAAGCGUUGUCCGGAAUUAUUGGGCGUAAAGGGCUCGCAGGCGGUUUCUUAAGUCUGAUGUGAAAGCCCCCGGCUCAACCGGGGAGGGUCAUUGGAAACUGGGAAACUUGAGUGCAGAAGAGGAGAGUGGAAUUCCACGUGUAGCGGUGAAAUGCGUAGAGAUGUGGAGGAACACCAGUGGCGAAGGCGACUCUCUGGUCUGUAACUGACGCUGAGGAGCGAAAGCGUGGGGAGCGAACAGGAUUAGAUACCCCAGUAGUCCCUGUCUCUUAUAC
rnacentral:rRNA from 1 species